rnacentral:rRNA from 1 species
CCUACGGGAGACAGCAGUAGGGAAUCUUCCACAAUGGGCGCAAGCCUGAUGGAGCAACACCGCGUGAGUGAAGAAGGGUUUCGGCUCGUAAAGCUCUGUUGUUGGAGAAGAACGUGCGUGAGAGUAACUGUUCACGCAGUGACGGUAUCCAACCAGAAAGUCACGGCUAACUACGUGCCAGCAGCCGCGGUAAUACGUAGGUGGCAAGCGUUAUCCGGAUUUAUUGGGCGUAAAGCGAGCGCAGGCGUUUGCUUAGGUCUGAUGUGAAAGCCUUCGGCUUAACCGAAGAAGUGCAUCGGAAACCGGGCAACUUGAGUGCAGAAGAGGACAGUGAACUCCAUGUGUAGCGGUUGAAUGCGUAGAUAUAUGGAAGAACACCAGUGGCGAAGGCGGCUGUCUGGUCUGCAACUGACGCUGAGGCUCGAAAGCAUGGGUAGCGAACAGGAUUAGAUACCCGUGUAGUC